rnacentral:rRNA from 1 species
AGCAGCCGCGGUAAUUCCAGCUCCAAUAGCGUAUAUUAAAGUUGUUGCAGUUAAAAAGCUCGUAGUUGAAUUUCGGGAUCAAUAUAUCGGUCGUGCCUUUGGUACGUACUGGUAUCAUUGAUUUCUCCUUUCUGACGAAUCAUGAUGUCAUUAAUUUGGUGUUAUGAGGAGUUAGGACUGUUACUUUGAAAAAUUAGAGUGUUUAAAGCAGGCAUUAGCUUGAAUACAUUAGCAUGGAAUAAUGAAAUAGGACGUUUGACCCUAUUUUGUUGGUUUUUAGGAUCGACGUAAUGAUUAAUAGGGAUAGUUGGGGGCAUUAGUAUUCAAUUGUCAGAGGUGAAAUUCUU